CUCAAGCUUGCUGCAGGGUUUUUUUUUUCUUUGUCCAAAUCAUGCAACAAUUUGCUGCUGUUUUUUAUAACCUGAAAUAAGAUUAAAGUCCUAUUAUUAGUGACUCAUGCUGAUUUACAUUUAUGCAUUUGGAAAACACUUUUAUCCAAAACACCUUUGCUUUCAAUAUCAGUUCAUGCAUUCAUAUAAAUGGGAAUCAUAUAACUUUGAUGUUACUAAAGUCAUGCUGUACUAUUCUGUUCAUGACUUGCUAUAGCAUUUUUAUUUUUAUUUUUAUUUAUUAUUAUUAUUAUUAUUUUAAGUUUUAAAUAAAACAAAUAUUAUUGGAGUAUGGUUUAUAAGAAAAGACUAUUUGAGUCUUUACAUCUCAGAAUUUCAUGUUUAAUUCACUGUGUUACUUGCUGCUUCUUUGUAAUUAUUUGUGAAAUGUAUUAAUUAUUUCUGAAUGAAAAAUGUUUCUAAGUAAUUUCUACAUGUGUGUGUGUGUGUGUGUGUGUGUGUGUGUGUGUGUGUGUGUGUGUCAUCCAAAUUUAUUCUCUAAUUUCAGUCUGGACUACUUUAAAUGUAAGGGAGUCAUUUUGGUUAUAGAUUCAGUUUUUAUUCUCUUUUAAAGCUAAACUGUGUAUGAGAUAUAUUAUAUUUAGCAGGAAACAGGACUCAGGAAACCACAAUGUGAUGCUGUGUGGACAUGUACAGUACCGACUAUGCCAUGGUAGAGAUUCAUAUUCAACAUUUGAAGACAUAUCAUUUAUAGAUUGUUCCUCUGGCUCUUUUUUGUCCCCCACCUUCCUCUUUUCUGUGCCGUGUCAUUAGCACCAGCUCUGGGGCGGCGAAGACCACAUUUAUUUCUUCAUAUGGUGUAAUGUGUCACCCCCUUUUCCCCCUCCUUUUUCAAUUCACUGAAAUUUAGAUUUCCACUUCAAGGGAGCUGUGGCAGUGAUGGAAUCAAAGGCUCGCCUGUGGCUUUGAACCCUCCUGAUGAAGAGAUGAAAAGGGCCAGGUUGCUGGAGCUUCUAGCGCUCACCACUCCAGUUCCUGUCUGGCCAGUGGAAAAGAACAGAAUUGAGGGCCAGGCUGACCCACUGCCGAUGCCUGGCAGGAAGGAACAUUGGAAGGAAUAUCAAGAUACUAAUCCUCCGCUGCUUCAGGAGGUCGGGUCGUGCUCAGCAGUGGGCAGAGCUCAAAUGCAAACCCAGGAGCAUUUCCCAGCCUGCCAUUCGAAGGUUCAUGGGGUUUGUGAAUGUUUGCAUGCGUGUGUGGGCAGGCUCUGUAAUGGGUGAACAAGUUGGCACACUAUCUGCUUAAAUAGUGUGCGGCGGAUCCAUAACGAGAGCCAAGGAGACAAUCGGCGCUCAGUUACAGCAUUACGGGUCACUGUGAAAACCUCCAGAGAAAAUAUUAAUACAAUAGCACACAAAACAAGCAAGCAAGGAAAAUAUCAGGUCUCCAGAAGGUUUGGCAAGACCCGAAUCAAGUGCAAGAGAGCUAAAAGCGAAGCAGGCAAGCUGACAAUCUCCAUGCUGCAAGUUGCACUUAUUGUUACGAUCGGUUUCAAUUUUCCAGCUUAGUACCUGUAAGCACACGCGAGACUGAUGCGUGUUGGUUUGUAGUCAUUAUUUCUGGCCAAGGUCAGUGUUCUUGCUGGUGCACUUGGCAAGAGGAUAAACAAAUACAUGGUGUUUCAAUGAGCCCUUUAUCACGUCUCCAAAGCCUCAUGUGGCUCUGAAAAGUUGAAAUCAGUUUAGGUGCAUAAAAUGAUGGAAUGGGUUCAGGUCCAAUGUAGUUUUCUUGAAGAAAAAGGCCAUGGAUAGCUUAGGAAACAGCGUGCUUUUCAUCUUUCAGUCACAGCAGAAAACACGGCAGCACUGUCUGAAAAGUGUCUCGGCCCUCAGUGAAGAAUGCAGAUCAGUGCCACAGGAAGUAAAUAAAUAAAUAAUUCAACAGAAGCAGGGAGCCAAUCUUAAAUCAAGCCUGUAUCGCUCACCUGUUCAGUCUCACAUUUUAUUUCUGUUUCGCUGCUUCUACUCUGCUCCAUGGUCUUCACUCACACCUGAGAAUGAAAAAACCCUGUUGUUUGUCAUUCUGACAGAUUCCUCUUAUGCAGCACGGGAUGCACCAGACAAAGAGAGAUUGGGUGUUGGAGGACACUGAAGAAUGGAAGGCAAGGGAGUGCCCAAGCGCCCAGGAGGGAUCACUCACAGUGGGAUUAGACAUUCAGACACAGCUGGGUAUCGCUGUCUGGAUGGGUCUCUUUCAUCAAAUAGAUGGCUCGCUAUUGUGAGUGUUGCACUAGUGGGAAUUUGCUCUUAAGUAUGGAGUGAGAAAGGUCCAAGGGACUGGGAGGACACAUGCAUUGAAUGGCAAAGAGCCAAGGGAAGUGAAAAAAGAUAUAGUGGUUACUGUGGAGGGCAUUGCUUUAAAAAUACAUAAGCUGGGAAUGGAAUAAGUAAGUGCCUUAAACCCUUGCAAUUGAUUAUUGGUGCCUGGGGGGCAAUACUGAUAAUGAUGCCUCUAUUAAAUGGAUCCCCCCACCCAUUUCUGUGGAUAAAUGAGUAAUUAUAGCCAUUUAACAUUACAUUAAAUAACAACUUUUAAUUAAAUUGUUAAAGUGUUAAACUUGUUAUAAGUUUAAUUAAUAAAUUACAGUUAAUUGGUUUUAUUACAUUUAUUUGUUUUAAAGAUUAUUCAGAAUUAUAAUAUUGUAUAACUUAUGAUGUUGUUAACCUUAAAAUAUUCACAUAAACCAAUUACAAUAAAUGUUUUUAAUAUGUGAGUAUCAGUCAUCUCAAUACAACAUCAAUAUCACAAGUAUUAAUAACUUGUUUUUUGAAUUUGAAUUAUUUCAACACAUUAAACAGCAAAUACAAUAUAAUACAAUGUAAUGUAAUGUAAUAUAAUAUAAUAUAUUAUAAUAUAAUAUACCGUACAUAGUGGAUUAAUUUAAAUACAGUAACAGCACAUAUUUUUAUUGCAUUUUGUGCUUGGUUAAGUUGAAAUGCUGGUAGUUAGUAUAUAAGACACACACUGAGAAAAUGUUUGCUAAAGUGAUUGAGUUUGAUUGUUGGCUGCAUAUUGAGAGACCAUUUAGAUUUCAUUAUUAUUCACUUAACUUGUGUUUGUGUAGAGAAAUAGAGAGAAGACAGAUCCAACAAAUAGAAGAUUGGCAUCAGUUAUUAUGUUCCGUGUGGCCUCCAAUCAAAACAUUCAGUGUCUAUACCUGUAAAUACCUGUAGCACUUAUUCAUCCAUGUAUACAUCCAUAUAGCUAGUCAUUUAUUUAUUUAUUUCAACAGAACAGUUUCUAAAGAUGUUUUUAACAAACCAAAUCACAUACGGAAGGGGAGACAGAAAACAAAAUUACAGGUUCCUUAGGCUCUUUAUCUCAAGGGUGCAGGAAAGCAUUUUAAAAGUGUGGCAUAUUAUUCGAGUGUUUACUGUCACUAGAUUGUGUGAUUUCUGGUCGCUUUUGCAAGCUGUCUCCUCUGAUGAAGAAUAGGUUGAGGAAUGGAAGCAGCACUGAUUGUUUUUCUAAGAGGAAAGACAUGACAGGAAGAAGUUAAUUGCAUUUGAUUAUCCUUUGCUUUGAGGUACAUCAUCCAAUGGAUUGCCAUCUCAUAUGCCCAGUAUUUAAAUAUAUAUAUAUAUAUAUAUAUAUAUAUAUAUAUAUCUCUGUGAGUCCAUUACUGUGUAUUGACAACACCGGAAAUGCAUAUAAACACAGCGUCAGACAUCACACAUGUAUUUAUGAAUGCUGAUAUGGACUCUUGUUCUAUUAAUUUUUGCCAUAGGAUAAUGUGUUCAAAGUCCUCCUCCAGUUCUUUUACUCUUCAUGGAUUUGGUUUGUUUGCCAUAUUGGUAAUCUGAUGAUAUUUAUUUGUUUGCUUGUAUCGUUCAGUAUUGGAUAUUUAAUUGUUCAUGUUCAUUUCCUUCAGUUUACCAUUUUGUGGUAUCUUUGCCCUAGUGCUCUCUUAAAAAUAAUCUUUUAAAACAUUAAUCAGAAUCAGAAUCAGAAUGAGCUUUAUUGCCAGGUAUGUUUACACAUACAAGGAAUUUGUUUUCAUGUGAGAAACUUCUGCAGUGCAACAGAAUGACAGCGACAGAACAAAAAACACAUAAUAAAAUAAUAAAAAAUACAAAUAAGUAGGUAAGGAAUAACAAUAUACAAAUUUACAAUUGUAUGUGCAGGUAUAUUACAAUAGGCAGUUUUGUAUGUACAGGUAUAUUAUGUGAAAAUUUGAAGUGUAGACUAAGUAUGUGUGUUAGAUAAAUAUGUGUAUGUGUGUAUAAAUAGUGUUGUGUGUUCCACAGUUAUUGUCAAGUGUUCAUGAGAUGGAUUGCCUGGGGGAAGAAACUGUUCCUGUGUCUGGUCGUUCUGGUGCUCAGAGCUCUGUAGCGUUGACCAGAUGGCAACAGUUCAAAGAGGGAGUGUGUUGGAUGUGAGGAGUCCUGAGUGAUUUUGCAAGCCCUUUUGCUCACUCUGGAUAAGUACAGUUCUUGAAUAGAAGGGAGGGUUGUACCGAUGAUUCGCUCAGCAGUCCAGACUACCCUCUGUAGUCUUCUGAGGUCAGAUUUGGUAGCUGAGCUGAACCAGACAGUUACUGAAGUGCAGAGCACGGAUUCAAUGAUGGCAGAGUAGAACUGUUUCAGCAGCUCUUGUGGUAAGUUGAAUUUCCUCACCUGGCGAAGGAAGUACAACCCCUGCUGGGCCUUUUUCAAUGUCAAUGUGAAUGUCCCACUUCAGGUCCUGAGAGAUUGUGGUGCCCAGGAACCUGAAUGACUCCACUGCAGUCACAGUGCUGUUCAUGAUGGUGAGUGGGGGGAGAGCAGGGGGGUUUCUCCUGAAGUCCACUAUCAUCUCCACUGUUUUGAGUGUGUUGAGCUCCAGGUUGUUGAGACUUCACCAGACAGCCAGCUCUUUAACCUCCUGUCUGUAAGCAGACUCGUCACCAUCCUGAAUGAGCCCUACAAGUGUGAUGUCGUCAGCAAACUUCAGGAGCUUGACAGAGGGGUUAGUAGAUGUGUAGUCGUUGGUGUACAAGGAGAAGAGCAGUGGGGAGAGAAUGCAGCCAUGAGGAGCUCCAGUGCUGGUUAUAUGGGUACUGGAUGUGUAUUUUCCCAGUCUCACUAGCUGCUGCCUGUCUGUCAGGAAGCUGUUGAUCCACUGACAGACGGAGGUGGGCACGGAGAUCUGAGUUAGUUUGGGCAGGAGAAGGUUUUGGAUGUUAGUGUUAAAGGCCGAGCUGAAGUCCACAAACAGGAUCCUCACAUAAGUCCCUGGUCUGUCUAGGUGUUUUUAGAACAUAAUGCAGUCCAAUGUUUACUGCAUCGUCCACAGACCUGUUUGCUCUGUAGACAAACUGAAGAGUUUGGAGAGGUGUUCAGGGCGAGUUGCAAGAGGUGUUAU
ensembl:lncRNA